rfam:Triticum aestivum genome assembly, contig: Triticum_aestivum_CS42_TGACv1_scaffold_602566_7DL
CUACUACUCUCUCCGUUCCAAAAUUAUUGUCUUAGAUUUGUCUAAAUACGGAUGUGUCUAGUUAUGUUUUAGGACAUCCGUAUCUAGACAAAUGUAAGACAAGAAUUUUAGGACGAAGGGAGUACUAA